rnacentral:rRNA from 1 species
UACGGAGGGUGCGAGCGUUUAUCGGAAUUACUGGGCGUAAAGCGCGCGUAGGCGGCUUGAUAAGUCGGAUGUGAAAUCCCCGGGCUCAACCUGGGAACUGCAUCCGAUACUGUUAAGCUGGAGUACGAUAGAGGAUGGUAGAAUUUCUAGUGUAGCGGUGAAAUGCGUAGAUAUUAGAAGGAAUACCGGUGGCGAAGGCGGCCAUCUGGAUCGAUACUGACGCUGAGGUGCGAAAGCGUGGGGAUCAAACAGG